CACACACACACACACACACACACACAGAAACAUCCCAGUGUGGUUAAACCUCCGGGCCUCUUCCUGCUUCUAAUUUUCAUCAGUGAGAAUGGGAGAAUACUAACUUCUCUCACAGGAUACAGAGUAUGUUAAGGAGUCGUAAUUCAUCAAUGUUGUAUUGGUUUUUCUUUUUCUUUCUUGUUUUUUUUUUAGCCUUUGUUGGUGCUUUGCUGUCUGUGUGGAGGACACAGAGAGUCAUAAACCACGAUCUCCUCUCUUCCAGAGUUCCUUCUUGGCGUUAGAGUCAUCGGCCGGCUGUGUCGUAGCCAAUGUACUGAGCUUUGUGGCUCUUGGAGCUGGCUCCCUCCCUCUCGGCUGCCUCCAUGCGUGGAGGUCACUUGCUGGAACGCAGAUGUGUGCAAUGCCCAGAGAUCCAAGUAAAAUAUCUCAACCGGUUCUUGUUGUUGUGGAAACAGCUCUGGCUCCCAGAUGGUUGACACAGACAAACAGAAGUCCCUGCUCCGUCUGACAUCACGUGGCUCAGCUGCCAUCUCAAAAAGUGAGCUUCCUGUGUGGAUAAGGCAGCCCCAUAGCCAGCCUGGCAACAGACAGCUUCAUGAGAAGGGAAAAGAUGAAGACGGAUUCCUGGGCGAGGCCGACCGUGGAUCCGCCAUUCCUGCCUGAGCCUCUUCCACAGCUGUCCUUUUUAGAGGUCACCAGACCAUCCUCACACAGACCUCAUGGUGCCUGCACCUGGACUCAUUAGAAGUCUUAGGGCUGGAAGAGAUGCAGCUCUGGGCUGGCUCUGAUGAGGACUUGUCACAAAGGCUUGGGAUCCUGUCUCUGCAGCUCUGCCCACAUGACCGUAUCCUUGGAAGAAAAAAAAAAUGGGGAUGCACAAAGUGACCAGCACAGGGUAUUCGUAAUGACCGGGGAACAGCGACUGAGAAAGCAAGAGCCUUCCCUGCAAAUCUGGGUUCAGACGCGGCAGAGGAAGCAGAAGUUUGCUUGGUAAACAUGGAAUCGGAACGUGGGAAUUGGGCCACUGGGAUAUUCAAUUGCGUCAGACUGUUGUAGCUGAUACUCUUGGACAGAGGGGCUUUGCCAACUGGACAGAUGUCUGAAGUGUUGCUGACCGAGCUCCUUGCUCUGUGUGGGAGGGAUCUUGCCAGCUCCAGCCUUGGUGGUUCUCCUUUUUCUGUUUCCAAGCUUAAAUAAGCACUUGGCUGUUCUGAUUAGCACUUUUAAAAGCUGUGUUAAUAAGUUCAAUUAAAAUAGAAGAAUCUCUCAUUCUG